CGAGACGUUCGAUUGUAUGCUCUGUGCGAAGAGUUUUAUACACUAUGUGGCUCUUCCGAUACGAGUAUAUGUAUUAUUUUGCUUUAAUUCCAGGUAAGAACCGAAAGCACUUCAGAAUCGCCUGAGUCUUUUGAACUGGAAUAUCCUUACAUUGAUGAACAGACACAAAUUUCUUGCCGCGAAAAACCUCCGGUGAAAAGUACAGAAUGCUGCAUAGCGCCCCUGCUUUUUACUGAAGAAAUCUUCUUGAAUUGCGGUGUUUGGACAACGGAUGUGCCACAGUCAAACAUUUCCACAGAUUUUGACGGGCUUAUUAAUUGCACUCAAAAGAAUUGCGUGUUAUCUGGACACAAACUUCUAUAUGAAAACGAUACUUUGAAUGCGUCUCAAUUUUUUAACUUCAUCGACAAGUGGGUCCUUGAACAUCCAGCCUUCAAGUCUGCAGUAGAAGUGGUUAAAGAAUACUGUGUGGAUCGGGAGUCAAGACUUGACAAUCAGUCUGAAGAUAACUGUUUACUUGACAGACUGGUUUUGUGUUACGCUUCAGUUAUUUAUUCUGAAUGUCCAGUUUGGAAAAAAACUUCAAACUGCGCAAAGCUUAAAGAAUUUAAGAUAUCGUGUCCAAUGUUCCAACAGAAAAAAAACCUUGAUUUUUUGUCAAAUUAAUAUUUAAGUAUUUUCUUAAAACAUUUUUUUAAAAGUUAUUAUAUUAUACGCAUGUCGCAUAUAUUGUUAAUAAAUAUAACAUAAACAGUAAUACCCAACUCUACGUUGUUUAUAACUUUUUAAAUACUUAAUUUUUAUAAUUCCAAUUGUGUAAUACCUACAUAUUUAAUUAAAAUCAAAUCAAAUAAUCCAUUAUUUAAUUGCAUCGAAUUAUAGGACACAAGAGCCCUUGUAUUUUGACGCGGCUUAUUGUAGAUUUGCCGCCAAUGGUAUUUAACUACUUAGCUGGACAAAUGGGGAGCGCUAAGAGUUUUCAUCCGGUAUAAAAAUUUAAGACAAGAGUCCUGUGGAUGUCCCGUUGGGCACGAACCUCGGGUUAGGGCGUCGUCGGAUAGGAUUAUAUUUGAUUAAUCGACCCUAGUGGGCCGAUAGCAAUAAACACUGAAUAUAUGUGAGCCCAUGUAAGUAACUACAUUGUAAUAAGAAAUUCUUCAAUCGUGUGGGUUGUGAGGUGAAUUACCAACCUCAUCAACCCUGGUGUCAAGGCUACUAUUGAGCCGCCAAAGGCCCCUGACAUGGCUCAUGUAACGACUACUUACUUACAUCAGUAAGUAGAAACCGGGACCAACGGCUUAACGUGCCCUCCGCAGCACGGAUCAUCUCACUUUUUUGACAAACAGGUGAUCAGCCUGUAAUGUUCUAACCAAAUUAGGGAUAACAAAGUGAUUUUUGUGAAAUGUCCCCACCGAAAUUCGAACCCGGGACCUCCGGAUCGUGAGCCCAACGCUCAACCAUUGGACCACGGAGGCCGUUAAUAAGAAAUAAUAUACGUAUUUACCUACCAGUCUACUUCUUAGUAUCAUAGUAGCUUUAUUAGUUCAGUUACUAGAGUUGCAGUUUGAUGAAAUAAGAGUAGAGUUUCGUACAGUUUCCAAACAAUGGUCUUUGGCUCAUAUUAUACAAUAUUCUGCCUGAUUGUAGUCAUAAUUACAAUGACCAGUUGUAUUACGUAGCUCAACACACGGUUACUCAGUGGAUUAGUUUCCAUUGUGACCAAUAUGAAAGUAUUAUCAUCAAAAAGUUUAUAUAUUGCUAGUAUUGUAAUA